AAGAAACAAGCUCCAGAAAACAGGGGAUGCGACACAGGAGAGAAGCAGAGGGAAUUUCCAAGAUGAUGGUAAAGGGAAGUCACAGGAUGACAAUUGUGAAGCAGGCCAAGAGAUCAAUAAGUUCAGACUAGAACAGGAAGACAAAGGACUCCAACCAAGAUGAUUCCUAGAAAAAAAAUGUAACUGAUAGACUGAUUACCUAGUGUGUUUGACCAUAUGGAGUAAUCUUUGUAGCUCUAGUGGGAAUGUGUAGGGUUAAAUUCAUAAUAGAUAUGUAGAAAUCUAAGCAAAAGAAAAACUGAGGCAAUUUAACACUGAAAAAAAAUAUUGUAUAAGAAAGGAAUUAUAAACUGGGUACAGUGGCUUAGGCCAGCAUUUGGGGAGGCCCAGGCAGGAGGAUCACUGAGCCCAGGAGUUCAAGACCAGCCUGGGCAACAUAGUCAGACCCUGUAUCUACAAAAAAAAAAAGAAAAGAAAAGAAAAAAAAAUUUUUAAUUAGCCAGGUGUGGUGGUGUGCACCUGCAGUCCUAGCUACUAGGGAGGCUGAGGUAAGAGGAUCGCUUGAGCCCAGGAGGCUGAGACUACAGUGAGCCAAAAUGGUGCCACUGCACUCAAGCCUGGGCAACAGAGUGAGACCUUGUCUUGAAAAAAGAAAAAAAAAGAAAGUAAAGGAAAUUUAGGCUGGCUCUGGAAGCUCUACCUAUGAGUAUGAGUUAGGCUUGCUCUGCAAGGGCAAUUUAAAAAAAG
rnacentral:lncRNA from 10 species